UACGUAGGGGGCUAGCGUUGUCCGGAAUCAUUGGGCGUAAAGCGCGCGUAGGCGGCCCGGUAAGUCCGCUGUGAAAGUCCAGGGCUCAACCCUGGAAAGCCGGUGGAUACUGCCGGGCUAGAGUCCGGAAGAGGCGAGUGGAAUUCCUGGUGUAGCGGUGGAAUGCGCAGAUAUCAGGAGGAGCACCAAUGGCGAAGGCAGCUCGCUGGGACGGUACUGACGCUGAGGCGCGAAAGCGUGGGUAGCGAACAGG
rnacentral:rRNA from 1 species